UACGUAGGGCGCAAGCGUUGUCCGGAAUUAUUGGGCGUAAAGAGCUCGUAGGUGGCUUGUCACGUCGGGUGUGAAAGCUUGGGGCUUAACUCCAGGUCUGCAUUCGAUACGGGCUGGCUAGAGGUAGGUAGGGGAGAACGGAAUUCCUGGUGUAGCGGUGAAAUGCGUAGAUAUCAAGAGGAACACCUGAGGUGAAGACGGGUUGCUGGGCUGAUACUGACGCUGAGGCGCGAAAGCUAGGGGAGCAAACGGG
rnacentral:rRNA from 1 species